GGCUAGCUCAAUCGGUAGAGCGUGAGACUCUUAAUCUCAAGGUUGUGGGUUCGACCCGUAAGCUA
rfam:Colletotrichum salicis strain CBS 607.94 Scaffold_263.1, whole genome shotgun sequence.